rnacentral:rRNA from 1 species
GAUGAACGCUGGCGGCGUGCCUAAUACAUGCAAGUCGAACGAACUUCCGUUAAUUGAUUAUGACGUACUUGUACUGAUUGAGAUUUUAACACGAAGUGAGUGGCGAACGGGUGAGUAACACGUGGGUAACCUGCCCAGAAGUAGGGGAUAACACCUGGAAACAGAUGCUAAUACCGUAUAACAGAGAAAACCGCAUGGUUUUCUUUUAAAAGAUGGCUCUGCUAUCACUUYUGGAUGGACCCGCGGCGUAUUAGCUAGUUGGUGAGGUAAAGGCUCACCAAGGCAGUGAUACGUAGCCGACCUGAGAGGGUAAUCGGCCACAUUGGGACUGAGACACGGCCCAGACUCCUACGGGAGGCAGCAGUAGGGAAUCUUCCACAAUGGACGCAAGUCUGAUGGAGCAACGCCGCGUGAGUGAAGAAGGGUUUCGGCUCGUAAAGCUCUGUUGUUAAAGAAGAACGUGGGUAAGAGUAACUGUUUACCCAGUGACGGUAUUUAACCAGAAAGCCACGGCUAACUACGUGCCAGCAGCCGCGGUAAUACGUAGGUGGCAAGCGUUAUCCGGAUUUAUUGGGCGUAAAGCGAGCGCAGGCGGUCUUUUAAGUCUAAUGUGAAAGCCUUCGGCUCAACCGAAGAAGUGCAUUGGAAACUGGGAGACUUGAGUGCAGAAGAGGACAGUGGAACUCCAUGUGUAGCGGUGAAAUGCGUAGAUAUAUGGAAGAACACCAGUGGCGAAGGCGGCUGUCUGGUCUGCAACUGACGCUGAGGCUCGAAAGCAUGGGUAGCGAACAGGAUUAGAUACCCUGG